ACGUGGCAACAAAAAAGAGAAGCCUCUAAAAACAGAACCUAAUCGUGUCCAAAACAAGAAAGUCUCUAGAAGAUUUCUAAGCAGUAGACGAACCCAACGUGUCUUCCUCCAUCUUCCACAUUUUAGCUCCUCCUCCUACAUGUUACAGAAAAUCCAUCGCCACCUUUCAGCCAUCCUAUAACACGUUGCAGAAUACCAACGCGACAUUGCAGUCAUGCCUAACGUUAUCAGAAGAAAACAGCCACGCCCAUCUCCUCCUCCCUCUUAUAUAAACCAAACCAAGCCCCUCUCCUCUUCACUUCCUCAAGCUAUCAAUCGUGCGUUUUUUUAGAAAGAGAAGACCAGCAGACCAAAGAGAGAGAUCGAGAGAAAGAAAGAAAGAACGAGAGAAGAAGAAAGAGAGGAGAGUGAGAGAGAGACCCAGUCGAGAGGAGCACCGAGAGAGUGAGAGAUUCACCGGGAGAGAAAGGAGAAAAAGAGACUGAUUUAAACGUCUGGGUUCCUUCAAGAUAACACUAUAGAUCGGAGUCCUUUCUUCAUGGAUGGCGUAGACUCCUCCCUUAAGAGCAUUAGACUGUUAGGGACCGACCUAACUUUUGUAUUCUAUAGUAUAAUUCUUUUUGAGAUUCAUGGCAUCAUUUUGUAACAACUAAAGAACUACUAAUAUAUAUAGCCUUGUGCUAUUUCUGAAUAUAUAUAUAUAUAUAUAUAUAUAUAUAUAUAUAUGGAUGAUUUAUAAGCUUAAGUUCACGUAUCCCCUUAUAUCCCAAAACGGGGGCGUGACAUAAUCCUCCACGGAACUCCCGACGAAGUAACAUGUUGAGCUUUCCCGCUCACACUCACUAACAGUGCCUCAAACUAUAAAUCUCCGGAAUCCAGCUUUUCGAAGUACUUUCCGAGACACAAUUAAGGUUCAAGACUAGAAUUUUAACCUCAAAUCAUCUUGGAAAUACAACUUCUCGGAGCACUUCCUGAGACACAAUUAAGGUUCAAGACUAGAGUCUUAACCUCAAAGCAUCUCAGAAAUAUAGCUUCUCGGAGCACUUCUUGAGACACAAUCAAGGUCAAUAAGUGAGGAAUGACAAAAUUCAUGUGGAAUUGCUUGGAAAAUUUGGAAGUUCUGAAGAACUCGAUCGAUCGAACUUAAAUUCGAUCGAUCAAAUUUUGCCCGAAAUCGAUCGAUCGAAAUUUUUUAGAACUUACUUUUGUAGAAGCGCACUAGAACACCCAAUUAGGAGCUUCUCCAUGACAAAAAACAGUUCUCCCUCUGAUUUUCGCAGCAGAACACGCUGGUUUCGUGACAUUAGUUGUCUCUAGCAAGAGAGUAACCCUAUAGGAGGUUAGAGGAGUCAUUUUACAUGUGUUUUUAGCCCUAAUUUCCUUCUAUAAAAGCUAUAGCCAUGCCUCCUUGUUUGAGAGUUCAGAGAACAGUAGCUAGAAUUUAUUUCUUGCAUUUUGUAGUUGAUUUCAGUAGCUCUUUUCUUUAGACAUUUGUCUUUGUAAAGCUUUUCUUUUAUUUCAAUGUUUGUUCUUCAUUUUCUUGUGGUGUUCUUAGUCAUGGAAGGCUAGUAACCUCAACUAAGGUUGAUGAUGAAACCUUUCUAUUGAUGACACUCGCACUCUUGUUAUACUACUUGCACAUUUUAUGAUAUAUCAUAUGUGUUAUUCAAGAUUCA